rnacentral:rRNA from 1 species
UACAGAGGUCUCAAGCGUUGUUCGGAUUCAUUGGGCGUAAAGGGUGCGUAGGCGGCGUGGUAAGUCGGGUGUGAAAUCUCGGAGCUUAACUCCGAAACUGCAUUCGAUACUGCCGUGCUUGAGGACUGGAGAGGAGACUGGAAUUUACGGUGUAGCGGUGAAAUGCGUAGAUAUCUGGAGGAACACCGGUGGCGAAGGCGGCGUUCUGGACUGCAACUGACACUGAGAAACGAAAGCCAGGGUAGCAAACGGG